GCCUCGGUCUCAAUGGGUAAAUCUCCUGGUUAAAUAAACAAACAAACACAAAAUAAUUGGGGACCAGGAAGCAGCAGAAACUUUUCAUCGAUAGCGUUGUCUUUGAAAGAUCUGCAACGUCAAAAAUACAAGGAAACUGUAUAGGUUUUUAUUUUAUUUUAUUUUAUUUUUGCUUUGUGUCCCAGCCAGCAUUAUAAAUAGUUUGCUAUUACUAUUAUUAUAUUGAAUAGUAUUGUAGUGAAUUGUCUAAAAACAAUAAAAAAAAUGUUCACAAAAAAAUACAAGGAAACAACCGAUAUAUCCCUAACAGAAGAAUGUAGGUGUUUAUUCCAUUGAGUUUAUUGUCUCUUCUCUCUCUUAUAGCAGAUUGCUCUUUACAAGACCAUGUUGCUGUCUCUGGCUCAGCUGGGGGGAGAGCAGUGCUGCCCUGUUCUUACACCCCCUCCCCUGGGCAGGAUGUAGCAGUCACAUGGCAUACAUAUCCAGAUCAGAAUUCAGUUCUAUUAAUUGACUCAAAGACCUCAGCACCCAUCCCUGCACAGUGGAGCGGCCGAGUGAAACUGUCUGAUGAAGUCUCCUCUGGAAACGCCUCUCUGCUAAUCUCUGAGCUCAGACUGGAGGACACUCAGGAUUACCCGUGUACAGUGAGGAUCAAUGGGAAAUGUGUCACUUACAGGAAUGUUAAACUGACAGUUCAAGAACCUCCAAAAAGAUAUUCAACUACUUCAGGAACAACAACGACCACAACCCCGACAACUAGACCAUCAGCAACCCCGACAACUAGACCAUCAGCAACUCCGACAACUAGACCAUCAACAACCCCGACAACUAGACCAUCAACAACCACGACAACUAGACCAUCAGCAACCCCGACAACCAGCCCAUGCCCAACCCAGCAGGGGAAUGCAGCCGCACAGAGGAGAUCGUACUGCAUGAAAACACUUUGAUAACUGGAUUCUAAUUGGAUUGCAUGUACCUGUAUUUACUGAGUGUUGUGAGUUAAGCGGAAGUUCAAUUAUUCCUGUGUGUUGCUGCUGCUGGUUCCCUAUGCCAGUAUAGUCCAUUGUGAAAGAGUAUUGCUGUUACUGUAACCCGCUGCAUCCUGCCUGUGCCUGCAUCUCUUCAUUUCUAUAUCAUUUUAAUAAGAGCAUUUUAGCAUUUUGAUAUAUUUCAGGUUCUAUUCAUCACUGAUUGCUGUAGCUUUAUUUGUUAAUAAAGUUGCUGUUUACUAUAGAUAAUUGUUAAUAACAGUUUUAUAUUAGUGAUCUGAAGACAGUUUAGUAAUUUGUAUCAGUUUCCAUGCCAGUUAGGAUUUCUUAAUUUUAUUAUUGAUUACACCAAAUUACAUUGGUUAAUGAUUUGCUUAGUAUAACUUCGUUAUUGCUGAUUACUAUAGAUAAUUGAUACAUACAGUUCUAAAUUCUUUUUAGGAAUAUUAUGUAUAUAAUGCAUUAGAGUAAAAGCUUCUACUUUUGUCUUGUUAUGACAAAUUUAUAUGUGAAAAAAAAAAAUUCAAAGAUGAUAAUUAUGUUGCAAAUUAAAACAAUGAAUUACUAAAUGUUAAUUGCACAGUACAAUAUGUUGUUGCUUUUCCUUUUUGCUUAUGAAAAAUAAAAUAUUUAGCUGUG